rnacentral:rRNA from 1 species
CUACGGGAGGCAGCAGUGGGGAAUUUUGGACAAUGGGGGCAACCCUGAUCCAGCAAUGCCGCGUGAGUGAAGAAGGCCUUCGGGUUGUAAAGCUCUUUUGUCAGGGAAGAAACGGUGAAAGCUAAUAUCUUUUGCUAAUGACGGUACCUGAAGAAUAAGCACCGGCUAACUACGUGCCAGCAGCCGCGGUAAUACGUAGGGUGCAAGCGUUAAUCGGAAUUACUGGGCGUAAAGCGUGCGCAGGCGGUUGUGCAAGACAGAUGUGAAAUCCCCGGGCUCAACCUGGGAAUUGCAUUUGUGACUGCACGGCUAGAGUGUGUCAGAGGGGGGUAGAAUUCCACGUGUAGCAGUGAAAUGCGUAGAGAUGUGGAGGAAUACCGAUGGCGAAGGCAGCCCCCUGGGAUAACACUGACGCUCAUGCACGAAAGCGUGGGGAGCAAACAGGAUUAGAUACCCCGGUAGA